rnacentral:rRNA from 1 species
UACGUAGGGUGCAAGCGUUGUCCGGAAUUAUUGGGCGUAAAGAGCUCGUAGGCGGUCUGUCGCGUCGAAUGUGAAAACCCGGGGCUCAACCCCGGGCCUGCAUUCGAUACGGGCAGACUAGAGUUCGGCAGGGGAGACUGGAAUUCCUGGUGUAGCGGUGAAAUGCGCAGAUAUCGGGAAGAACACCCGUGGCGAAGGCGGCUCUCUGGGACGGUACUGACGCUGAGACGCGAAAGCGUGGGGAGCGAACAGG